UGGGGAAUAUUGGACAAUGGGCGACAGCCUGAUCCAGCCAUGCCGCGUGUGUGAAGAAGGUCUUCGGAUUGUAAAGCACUUUAAGUUGGGAGGAAGGGCAUUAACCUAAUACGUUAGUGUUUUGACGUUACCGACAGAAUAAGCACCGGCUAACUCUGUGCCAGCAGCCGCGGUAAUACAGAGGGUGCAAGCGUUAAUCGGAAUUACUGGGCGUAAAGCGCGCGUAGGUGGUUUGUUAAGUUGGAUGUGAAAUCCCCGGGCUCAACCUGGGAACUGCAUUCAAAACUGACUGACUAGAGUAUGGUAGAGGGUGGUGGAAUUUCCUGUGUAGCGGUGAAAUGCGUAGAUAUAGGAAGGAACACCAGUGGCGAAGGCGACCACCUGGACUAAUACUGACACUGAGGUGCGAAAGCGUGGGGAGCAAACA
rnacentral:rRNA from 1 species